rnacentral:ncRNA from 1 species
UGAUAGCUAAGAAGCGGAGGUUGCCGGGAACUGUUGAAACAGAAUUCCCAGGUUUUUCGUGGAGCGAAUGUCAAGAGACCAUAAGGUCUGUAAACCUGGCGACA